rnacentral:rRNA from 1 species
UACGUAGGGGGCGAGCGUUGUCCGGAGUUACUGGGCGUAAAGGGCUCGUAGGCGGCCCACUAAGUCCGACGUGAAAUCCCCAGGCUUAACUUGGGAACUGCGUCGGAUACUGGUGGGCUUGAAUCCGGGAGAGGGAUGCGGAAUUCCAGGUGUAGCGGUGAAAUGCGUAGAUAUCUGGAGGAACACCGGUGGCGAAGGCGGCAUCCUGGACCGGCAUUGACGCUGAGUGAGCGAAAGCCAGGGGAGCAAACGGG